rnacentral:lncRNA from 1 species
UGGGGAUGACCUCUAGCUUGGUAGUUCUGGUACGUGUGUUAACUCCAUCUCCAUACAAAGAGGAAAAGCUGCAUUCAGCUGAUAGAUCAUGCGUGAAUUAUAAUCAUUUCCUAUACGUAUAUAUUCUUGGCAUGAUGAUUUGAGUGUUGAUCUGUACCUUGUAAUAGGCUAAUAUGUUUACCAAUUAUUCUGGUAGUAGCAUUAGUCGUUCUGCUGAUCUAUAUGUGGGCAGAAACAUAUUUUGUGUUGGCCAGCAUUUUGGUAUUGCCCCCCAAAGGCCUGAAAUCAAAUAAUGUGUCCUGUUGCUCGAUAAUGAGAUCCGGGUUGCUUCCAAUUGAAAGCAAUGUACGGAGUAUAGUUAGAAACUUGGUAUGCUGUAUGCAUAUUUUACAAACUGCUAUUUCAUGGUUGGUGGUAGAUACCGAUAUGUCGCGGAAAACAUUUUUUUGCACUUCGUAUAAUUAGAAAUAUGGUUCAAUCAAUACAUAGGAUGACCCAUUUUGAAAUAUGUCUUUUUAAGUCAAACUAGAAAUAUAAACAAUUUGUGCCUCUUGCUGCUAAUUUAGGACUUCAGGUUGGAUAUUCUCUCUGUAAGAACUGAUCACCUACGUGAUCUAGGUAUAUGAAUUUGUUUAGUACUGCCUUUUAAUUUCCGUUUUGACAUGCGAAUGUUUCCUUUCUUCUGUUACAGAUUCAGAAAUAAGAAGUUGCCCUUGGUAGAUUUUUCGACCAUUGUAUCAUUGCAUCAUGAUGCUUUGAAAGAUGAUACAGCCUACGAUCAAUAUUCAGAUGAUCUCUUUCAGCUUAACAUGUUCAAUGUUGAACAGUGCUAUUUUAAUAUGAGCUUACCUGAUCCUCUUGUAAUUUGCUGCUAAUAUUUCUACUAGUGUGGCUGUUUUUUAGGUUUGAAGUUUAUUGGUCCUUAUUUUUUGAGGCUAACGUUUAUUGUUCCUGAAUGAAGGUCUACUAGGAUCCUAAGCAUCAUAUUGGCUAUAUUCACAACUGUGGUAGGUUGUCUAUCUCUUCUCCAAUUUUGAAAGCAUAUAACUUAAUCAAAGAAAAUGAGCAUACAUGUGUUGUUUCUCGGACUUGAUUUUCUAUCUUGAGUUGGACAAUAAGAUGUUUUCUUAAACUGUAAUUGGACAAUAAGAUGUUGAUUGUAAGUCCCGCCUGUUAAUUCAUAAUGAGGUCUCUGAAUUUCUGUUUUAUCACUUGAUGGGUGAUGUACAAUGCUUCUUGUAUGAGAUUGCAUGUCGGCAAGUGAGCAGGAAGUAUGCAACAAUUUCUUUGCAUCAGGCUCAUCUCAAUGAUCUUAGUAUUUUUUUAUUAUUAUAUGCAGAUUUUGUCUUUGUUUUAUCCAUUCUUUCUUUGCUGAACCAAAUAGUUUAAACAUAUUGUUGAACAUGCUUUGCUUGAAACAUCAAACAAGACUAUUCUACACAAAGUUGCAGAUGGACUUGAUUGACAUGCAGGCUCAGAUGAGAACAUUAUUUGCAAGAAGGAUCAAAUUAUGACUCAUAGUUUUUGCAUUAGCUUUUCCAUGCUUUCCUUUUGCUAAUACCCCGCUACUCAGUAUUUGAAGAGCAUGAUGAUUUGCAUGCAACUCCCAUUAGGCGUCGCAAGGUAUUAGUGAGGUUCCACAUCAAAGUUUAGAGGAUAUUGUUAUAUCGUUUUACACCGAUCAUGUCAUAAGAUUUCUACAUUACAUAUUUUGUAUUUGCCUUGCAAUUUUGCAAAUCAACCACAGAGAUAUGAUCUCCUCGUAUAAAAAUAUUAGAAGUAAGAACAAAAAUCAGGUUACGUAGCAAUGAUUCUCACAACCAUUUUAUUGUGCAUUUACUUAUUUUGCUCACACUUUUGCUACUCAAGGUUUGACGAGCAUGAUGACUUGCAGGAUUCCUUUUAGGUGUUGCAAGGUAUUGAUGAUGUUUCACUUCCAUUUUUGCAGAGCAUAUGGCUCCUUUUGAGAUCGAUCUUCCAUGGUAAUUUAAAAACCAUGUGUUGGUUGGUAGCUUAUCUUUAUGGGUUAUGCCUUUAGAAACACUUAAUUCACUUUAUGAACCGAUGAUCUGUUGUCACUUUCUUUCAUCAUAUACAUGAUGUUACUAUUAGUUAUGUUGUCCCGACUCUGAGAUUUUCUUUUUAGACCUUAUUUAUUUUGCAUCUAAUUAUAAUUCUUGUCACCAUUCAUCCCAUGAAUGUCAUGCACUCCACAAGAAAUAAGCAGAUGCACUAGGUUUGUCCAAUUCUUCAUUGUUUCUGAAUGUGGUGGCCCUUUCUUAGAUGCUUGCAAAGGUUUCAUUAAUUCACCAUGUAUUCAAUGGAACUACCAAAAUGUCUUAUAUUUACGAACAUAUGGAGUAAUGCUUAUCAUAUUUCUUGCAGUACUAAUUAGUUGUAUUUACUAUGUAUGUUGUCGUACCAAGCUAAUUUGUAUACAUUUAUGGUUUUCUCGACUAUAUAUGAGAUUUCUUUUGAUUACCCACUAAUUUAUUGUUAUGUUUAUGGAAAUUUAAAAUGUAUCAUGUGAUUAUAUAUUUAUGAAAAUUCCGA